AAUUUUUAAAAAAAGAUAAGCUAAUUAAGCUAUUGGGUUCAUACCCCACUUAUAAAGGUUAUAAUCCUUUUCUUUUUA
rnacentral:tRNA from 1 species